GGAAUUUGAAUUAUAAGAUUUUUCUUGUCAUACAGUUUUUAAUGCAUACUCUACUUUAAGAAAUGAGGGUAGUGAUGCACCACUUUUGAACUCAUGCCUCAAUUCCCUAAUUCUUAAUAUGGAAGGUUUAGAUAUUCAAACUGUACUCUGAAUUUUAAUGUUCUGAUGCACUUUCCUUUAUUUCUUUAUGAGAUGGAAGAUAUGAGGCCUGAAUUUGGAUAAAGAAAUAAAUAUUAGACAUCACAGAAGAAUUUUAAUUUGGAACAAGUUAUCAGCUAAAACAACAAUCUGCAAAAUGAUUUUAGUUGACCAUUCUAUAAUAUGGAAUCACUUAUGAAAUUACCUUCAUCUUUUGUAAACACUUCAAAAAUAGUACAUAAUUGAUGGAAUUGUUCUCUCUGCCAUCAAUUUUUCUUCUGCUCAUUAUACAAAAGUACUUGUUAACUAUAUAUAUAUAUAUAUAUAUAUAUAUAUAUAUCCAUCCGAUGGAUAUGACAAGCAUGGCAUGAAUCAGAUCAAGGUGCUGUUAUGCUUCUUUUUGAACACGUCGACUAGAGAUAAAAUCAAUUCACAUUGGUUACUCAUCGGCAGGACAAAAGCAGCUAAAUCAUGCAAAGUAUGAACUAGAGAAGGGGCAAUUAGUUUCAUAACAAUAAAAUAGAAAACAGAAUAAGCAAGAAUAAUUGUGAGUAAAAAAUGAUGAAACAGUCAUGACAGUAAGAUAGUUGAACUGAUUAAUACCAUAAAGUAGAAGUGGAUGGAACCUUGUGCUGGCUUUUCUUCACUGAUCAUCAAUUUUGCUUCAUGUUCUUCCCUAUUCACCUAUUUCAAGCCACUUACAUGAAAUAUUGAAAUGGAACUAAGCGCCACGUUUUGCUUGCUUGCUCCUUUUCUCUUUAUUAUUCUAAUCAAGUAACUGCUCCAGUCUUUCCCCUGCAAACACCAGGAGCAGUUUCUCCUUCCUGAUUCCAUAGGUGGACCUUACAUAGGAGAAACCUUUCAAAUGUAUUCUCAAUCAAAGUUUCAGUUGAGUACCAUUUUUCUAAAACCCCUCCAAGAGGUUUCAAAUGUGAUGAUGAUGAAAAAGAAAGGGAACACAUUUGAAAGGUUUCACGAAUGUAAGAACAACCAAUGCAACCAAGAGGGAGUAACUAUUCCUAGUGUUUGGAAGUGAUGGAAGUGAGGAAUUACUUGAAGAGAAGCAUGAAGGGAAAAGAAAGAAAUAUACAAAAGAUGGUGCUGAAUUCCAUGUCCACAUUAAGAGAAUGAUGUGUAAUAGGUGAAUAGAAAAGAAGAAGAAGAAGAAGAAGAAGAAGAAGAAGAAAUGUGAAAGAUGCAAGUUGCAGGGUUUGGAUUUAUAGUGUUGUUGGGAAUGCAAUGAGAGGGAAACAGAAGGAAGAGUGUGAAUUACAGCUCAAUUUCCACAGAUGGAAUCUCCCUCCAGCUCAUAACACAAUCAUGUGUUUGUGGUCUAAUUUACUUCUAUCUACAAUUUAUGACUUUAUUUCAGUGCAGUCAGUGUACUGAACCAUAAGCAUGUUCACAAACAACUGUCUCACCACCCAAUGGUCCAAAACUUUAAGGUUCAUUCCGUAAUUCCCAUUUGAAUAUGACACUAGUCAACAUUGGCUACUCCAGAACGGAUAUACUUAACGCGCAGUAAUAACACACUUUUAUACUUAUUUGACACAUAGU
rnacentral:lncRNA from 1 species